GUGAAGUGAUGAUGAAGUUUAUCCAUUCUCUGAGCGUUGCUGCUCUGCCCUUCCUGCCAUAUCCAGGUCCCUGUUCUAGGGGUCUUGAUAGUCUGUGGCCUCCGGACUCCUCCCAGCCUUGCAGUGUUCUGCUGGGGGCUGUGGUGGACGUUUGGCUGGCUGCUGGCAGGGCCUGGACAGAAGGAGCAGAACCAGCGCCCUCUUACUGCGGGGCUCUGGCUCAGCCAAGAAGAAUGAAACUGUCUGAUCAC